AGACGGGGGGUGCUAGCGUUGUUCGGAAUUACUGGGCGUAAAGGUCGCGUAGGCGGCUCUGCGAGUCGGGCGUGAAAUCCCGGGGCUCAACCCCGGAACGGCGCUCGAUACUGCGGGGCUGGAGACCGGAAGAGGGGGGUGGAAUUCCCAGUGUAGAGGUGAAAUUCGUAGAUAUUGGGAGGAACACCGGUGGCGAAAGCGGCUCUCUGGUCCGGUUCUGACGCUGAGGCGCGAAAGCGUGGGGAGCAAACAGGAUUAGAAACCCUAGUAGUCC
rnacentral:rRNA from 1 species